rnacentral:rRNA from 1 species
CCCGUCACACCACUGGGAGUUGGUCUUACCCGACGGCGCCUGCGCCAACCUGCCUGGGAAACUUGGUUGGAGGCAGGCGACCACGGUAGGGUCAGCGACUGGGUG